UACGGAGGGGGCGAGCGUUGUCCGAAGUUACUGGGCGUAAAGCGCGCGUAGGCGGGCUGGCAAGUCCGCUGUGAAAGCCUGCGGCUUAACCGCAGAGGGUCGGUGGAUACUGCCAGUCUUGAAGGUGCUAGGGAGAGAUGGAAUUCCUGGUGUAGCGGUGGAAUGCGCAGAUAUCAGGAGGAACACCGGUGGCGAAGGCGGGUCUCUGGGCCAUUACUGACGCUGGAGGAGCGAAAGCGUGGGGAGCGAACAGG
rnacentral:rRNA from 1 species